AUGUGUAUCAGUCCUCGGAUCCUCGCUUGAGCGAAAGAUUCUCGCCUGAGCGAGAAAGGAUCACCUGGGAGGGUGAAAUCUUGGACUAUACUGGAAGAUUCUCGCCUGAGCGAGAGUUUCCUCGCCUGGGCGAGAAAUGGCAAACUGGGGUUGUUGACACUGUGAGAUUCUCGCUUGAAGGGUCAGAGUUGAGUUUUUAAAAUGGGCGGGAUUUUCUCGCUCGAGCGAGAGAAAGCUCGCUUAAGCGAGAACCCGACG